GGGGCCGGGCGGGCGGUGCUGUGCGGUGCUGUGCGGUGCUGUGCGGUGCUGUGCUGCGGGCUGUGCCGUGCCGUGCUGUGCCGCCGUGCCCUGCCAGCCCCACACCCGGGCCGAGCUCUGAACUGAGAUGAUUUGUAAUAAUAGAAUUUUACAGGUGGAGUUUUGUUUUCUGUUUUCCUUUUUUUUUUUUCUUUUUUUAAAGUUGGUGUGCUUUUAAUUGACUAACUUCUUGCUGCUGUAUAUUAAAAUAUUAAUAUAUUUUUAUCAUUAAACUGCUGCAUGACUAUCAUCGUGACGAGUGAAGAAAAGAUGUUAUAAACAAAAGAUGCCUUAAGCAGUACAGUACAACUGUAGUCGUUGGCCGGAGCUCGGCGGGCAGCGUUGGGCCGUGCCCCGCGUGGGGGGGCGCAGGGGGAGAGCAGAGCUCGGUGAGAGGAGUUUGUUUUCUGCUGUCUGCUAUUUCCAUUGAAAAUUAUAAUUCCUUUCCCCCUUCCCCCCCAUCCCCCUCUGUUUUGGAGCUGUACUGCGAGUGUCAGAGCUGUUCCCGUCGUGCCGUGCCCUCCCCGUCGGUGUUCGCAGUUAUCGAUGAGGCGUCGGGCGUUUCUGUUUCUUUAACAGUCACUGGAAAUGUUGAAAAUGGCUUUCAUGUGCACUUUCCUAUUUCCGAGCAGUAAAAUAAGCUUUCCGAGCUCAUAAUGUGACAUUCAGAACGGUUCUCAAUGGCGUGUCGGCAUCGUCAGGUGGUGCCGCUCGGGCUCUCCCACUGCGUUCCGUCCCGCUGUUACGGUGCUCUGUUGCGGGACGGGGCGCUCCGCCUCCAACCCCCGACGGCCCCGCUGGGCCGCACGGCGUUGCCCGCAUCCCCGGCCUUCAACCCCCAACCUCGGCCCGGCUGCGGUGCCGGCGGUGCGGGGUGCGGCGGGGACAGCCGUCCGGGAGCGGAGAUGGAGCGCUCCGUCCGUCCGUCCGUCUGUGUCUCCUUGGGGCUUUUCUGGUGUGUUGGUCGUUGGUUUUAGUUUUCCCCUUCCUCCUAGGACUUGGUGGAUGAUGAUAAUGAGAGAGUAAAGGACUGUAAAGGUUCGUGGGAUUUGGGCUUCCUUUGGGUUGCUCUCGCUUUUCUGGUUUUGUUUUGGUUCUUUUUUAUCUUCUUUUUUUAUUUCUUCCAUUCCCGGAGGUGUUCGGUGCUUUACCACGGCUCCGAUGUCUCAGUAUUUAAAACAAAGUGCAGAAAACGCAGUUCGGUGCGGGAGAAGCGAGGUAUAUUUGACCAUAUGUGUUGUUUCUCAAAAGGACAGUAUGCUCAAAUGUGCCAAGGUCCCCAAUUCCUGAGCAGCAUGCCUUAUUUUCCUCGGUGACAUGCUUUUAAAUGUCUUGUAGGAUAGGUCCAAGAGCACGAUAGAACUGCUUUGUAACGACUGCGUGCGAGAAAACUUGAAAUGCGUUGCAAUACUGACAUUGCUUUGUUUCUGAGUUAAAGGGAAGCUGUCAAGUAAUUGACUGCUAAAAUGCGACCUCCCUGUAAAUGGUUCUACACUAACGGAGAAAUGUCCUCCGAAAUCAAAAUCUUUUUUUUUUUUUUUUUUUUUUUGGUGAAAGAAAGAAAGAAAGAAAACAAAACAAAACAGAACUGCUCUGUCUGUGAGAAGUUAAAUAAAAACCCAGACAAAAAGCACCAGCCGCUCUUGGUCCUGCCUCUUCUUUUGCGCUUCGGCUCGCGGCCGGGAGGCGCCGGGCGACGCUCGGUGCACGUCCAGCCCCGCUCCGCCCGGCCCCGCUCCGCAGCCCCCCUUCCCCCGCUCUCCGCUCUUUGCCGGCCCGGACGGCGGGGCCAAACGGAGCCGUUGGUGGCAGUGCGGGACUGGGCCGGUUGCGGGGAGCCGCUCGGAGCCCCUCGAGGGCUGCUUCUGGGGAGCAGUUCCUUUGUUGCCUUUCGGAAUCGCACUGUAACCACUUUUUUUUUUUUUUUUUUUUUUUUUUUUUUUUUUUUUUAUGAUUAGCUGCAGUGUGACCUUUGUCCCUUCGAACUAUGCAAGCUCUUAAAUGUAAAUGAGGGAUCGGGGGAGGCGGUCGGUGCCGUUGGGUCGGAUGGCGUUGGUGCUCUAACCGGAGUGCCGACCGAUAAGGCGCAAUUUGCGCGCUGUGCGCGGGCGGAACGCACCUCUCUGUUCUGACAGCGGUGUUAAUGUCGCGUAACGGGACUGCGGGGCCGGGAGGGGACCGCUUCUUAAAAGGGGAUUUAAGACUUUUGUAACUGUUUUUUGUUUAAUUUUUUUCCAUCAAACUCCAAUACUUUUGUCAAUUCUUUAGGCGUUUAAUUUGUAAAAAUAGAUUUUGUUUUGUAUUGGCGUCCAGAAAAUAGGGAUUGAUUUUAAAUUUCUGAAGCCAAGCGAUCAAGUACAUUUGUAAUAAAAAGUCAGUGGAUCUCUACCAGCCGUACUGACUGUUUUAAUUCCGUGUACGUAGCGGUGCAGUGCCGCUGUCCCCCAGGGGCAGACGGGGGGGAAGGAGCGGUGGAGGGCAGCGCGGUGUGUCGGUGCGGCUCCGUGCCGCUCGGCGGAGAUUCGGUUGAUACGCGGUUCUGCUGAAAGCAGCCACGCUUUUUCCAUUACAGUUUGUGAAAACCUCAAUUGUGGGGCAUGUCCUCACUCCACGCUUCUCCCACCUCGAUUUAACUCAGUCCCCCAAAACGCUAAAAUCGUAUUUGAGGAGUUUGGUUUCCCGGCAUUUAAAACGUCAAAACGAAACUCCGCUCUCUGUUAGGGUGGAGAAGUGCUGCACAUUACAUCUUUGCAGCCCUGAUCUUCUCCAGGUUUUGCCGCUUUCCUCUAUUCUCCAAGUUGAAUGGAUAAAACCUUUUUUUUUCCCCUUUCUUUUUUCUUUUUUUCUUUUUAAGUGGAAUUACUGUGAGCUUUGGAUCAAAGACUUCAGAGGAUCCACUGCAUUUGGAUCCCGCACCUUGCAGAGUACGGACGCAGUUUGUUUCUUUCUUUGCUUAAAAUCCUAACCUCCCGUUGCUCUGAAGGACGCAGACAGAGUCGGGUGGCCUCGGUGGAGGCCUCGGUCUGUGGAAAUCCUGACGUGAACGUACAAGAAUGCUAAAAUGGGUUUACUUUGCGGGGAACACUUGUGGGAAAUUCGAAGUGCCACCAGAACCAGCAAACCUGGCUUUGCUAUUCUGACGUGCCGAAAACAGCCUCCGUUUCUCUUAGGUGAGCUGGAAAUCAGAGGGCGGAAGCAAGUUGCCACCUGUCUGCAUGCUCUUUUUGCUCCUUCAGAACUCUUUUGCUCCCUCCCGGCUUGGAUCAUUUGGUGAGAGGUCUCACCUGCCCCAAAAGCCUGCGAGUUUCCCCGCUAAGAUGGCUCUGUCAAGAUUUAUUUAUUUUUAAUUGCAAUUUUUAAAUCCUGUUUUGUACCUUUUUUAUUUAUUUACUUUGCUUUUCUGUCGGGCUUACCCAAACUUUCCUCUUCUUUUCUUCCGAUCCUCCUCUGCUGUUUCCCUGCUGCUGUCACCACUGACGUGUAGCUGAGGGCCACAGCUCUGCUGCCGUUUGUCUCCCGUCCAGGGAGCCCUGCGCCAGGCUUUGCACUUCUUGCACAUGCACUUCUCUCACCGAAGGUUUUGCUCUCUCGGUUUUGUUCCCUGACGUGCAAACAUAGGUGGAAGGAUCAGAAUUUUGGGUGGCAGAACGGAGAAGCUGGCUGCACGCAAAGUCCUGUCAGAAUGUUUUGACACAAGUGAAAAGACUUUUACCAGUAAAUAUCGGUUUAUUCCUGAAACCAGAAGCCCUAAACAUACCUUUGUUUAUAAGGUCAGUUGUCAUUUUGUCUCUCUCGUUCCCCACUCCCCCCAGUACAAACUGGCAGGUGAUUGAAAGGUACCAAGCUUUCUUUCUAGUUUUCCUGCUCUGCAACUCUGGAAAUGGAGCCCGCAGGACCUAGAGCCUUCUCUUGGUAACGUAGACUGAAGUUUACAAAUUAUUAUUUAACACUUUAAAGUCUGCUUUUAAGGACAGCAGUGUUCCCGUCUGCCUGGUACGGGGCUGGUAGGAAUUCCUGCAGGUGCAUGACGUAGUUCACCUUCCCAGAGCCUGUGGGCAGGUGUCUCAAAAAGCAUCUUCAGGUUUGGGCUUGGAAAGUAAUUUCUCCAAAAGUAGAUGCUGCAAAAUGGCAUUUUGGUUUUACAGUGAAGAGGAUGGGGGGAGCGAAGGGUGGGAACUGAGUAUGGAUAUGUCUUUUUCUGAUUUUUUUUUUUUAAUUUUUCUCUAUAUUCUGCUAGAAAGCAAGGCUUCUGUUUUGGAAAAGAAGCAUAAAGUGGGGAGGAGGGAGAGAAUUUGAGCAUUGCCCAUCCUAAAAUAGUUUUAAACACUUUCUCCGAGGCUGAUGGAAAAGGCAGGUGAAAGGUCUGAUCCUUAAAAGGACAUUGCUAGGUAUUUGGGACUCCAAAAGCAGCUGGUGCUUCUUAAUGACUGCAAUUGAUUUAGGUAAUUUUCAAAAUUUGGUCUAUACUAAGACAAAUCAGCUUGGGAGAGUUGAAGACUCCCUUUUUUUCCUAAGAGUUUGCAACCCAAAUGCUGCAGUACUGUGCUAAUACUUGUGAAACAGCAAAGCUGGUGAGGAAUAGAAAAUGAGUUGACUACAUGGUCCCAGCCAAUUUUUUUUUCUUUUGAAAGAACAAAAUGAAAAAAUCAUAAUCAAAACCACUCCAAGCCAAAAAAUGCAACCUCCAUAGAGCAAGCAGAACAGCAUCUCAAGUGAUUUGAUUUGGUUUUGUCAUGCAUGGUUGGCAAGAGCAUUUCUGGUAUAGCUGCAACCUAACUAUGUCCCUUUAAGACUAACUUCAUCUCAAUGAAACAAAAGACAAGGUUUUGCACUAUAGAGCAGAUCAAAGCUCCUGCAGCCUUAGUUGGAGUCCAUAAUGACGGGAGUCUUCCAGCUGUACACUCUGAGCUGAAAACUACCUUUCCUCCCCUUUUGCAGCCUGUGUGGUUCUGAUUGCUGGCAGUUCUCUAAUACAGCUUUAAUCUGAGCAGUUGAGGCUGGUCCCACCUUACCUUCAGACGUCUUGCGGAGGACUCCUGUUACCAGUUUGGUACUCAAAAGCUACACCCCACCAUGAGAAGUCAAUUAUUUUUUAAAAGGCAGUGAUAGAUUACUGUCUCUAGUUCUAAUGGAAAAAUUAUAUUGCAAUGCAACUUUAUAAUAAAUUGUUCAUAUAUUCAUAAUUCCGUGGCAAUCCCAAAUCGGAGGACGGAUCUGUUAAAGGUAUAUAUUAGUCUAGAUUUUUUUCUUAUUGUAAAUACUGUAAUUUUAUAAUACUGUCAAUAUUUUAUUAACUUAGAAAUAUUUAACAGAGUUCAAUCUAUUGUAGUUGAUUUAUUUAUAAGUUUAUGUUGCAGCCAAUAUUGAACUGCAUUCUAAUGUAAGAUUAACUUUCAGCAUGUGAACGUUGAUUUAAUCUAUCAUUGGAAAGAUUAAGAAUACAGAAAAUUCUCACUCUUAAUCUGUAAUAUUUAUCCCUUGAUUCCCAGUUCAGAGUUCUUGAUGAAAUAGUACAAGAUUUCAAAAGCUCAUGAACUGCAGUUGGAUCAUGUCAUUUGAAAAACUGAAUUUUGAAAUGUAUCUGACUUUUUUACCCUGUUGGUGGUGAAUAAGAUUGCUUCAGCAUCUAAACUUUAAAGUACAGAAGUCUUUAUUUUGAGCAAAGGGACACUCUCAGAUUAACAUUAGGUUCUUGUUUUAAGGAAAAAAAAAAAAAAGCAAAACUCACCUCCCCAGCACGUGUGUUAAUUCCGUCUCAAUCACAAGGAAAAAACAUUUUUUCUGCUGGUUUGUCUAUUUGGCUCAAAGCAUUCCUGGAGCCAUGCAGUCAGGUGAAGUGCUGGCUAUGGGCUCUCACUGCUCCAGGCGCAGGCUGGGGACCUUCACCAGGUAUGUAGGUACACACUGUGUCCUUGCAGGGGGCAGAUCCAGUCCCUAGCACUGGUUAUAACUAUUGUCAAGGUGGAUGAAAGUGUGUAAAAUUUACCCUUUGUUAGAUUGAAGUUUCCCUUCACAAAUUUGCUUUUUUUUUUUUCCCCACAUAUGUCUCUCAUUAGCCUGAUAGUGUCCCUUUAACAGUACAAAGAUGUUCAUUUUCUCUAAAAAAUUAUUACAAGUGACUUUGAGAUAGAGGAGAACUCAUCUGUAAUAUGUUUGCGACAUAACUUGCAUAAAGAUAUCAAAAAGACAAAGGGUUUUCAUGGGAGUUGGUAUUUUUUUGAGUGUUAAAGUUAAUCUUUAUUAGAGAUGUGCCAAUCUAUACUGCUUUAUUGUAGUGUUGUUACACUUAGACAUUUCAGUUAACUUAUGAAUAUAUACUGUAACAGUAUACUUUGUACAGAUUUAUUUAAAAUUUAUUUGAAAACUGAAAUAAAUUAGGCAGAAAAUAAAGAUAUUUAUUUUUCAUUUGACUAUGUAAGAAGGUAUCAUUCUUUUGGUUUUAGUGCACUGGUGUACCAAACUUCGGAACCACUGUUUUCUUCAGUUUGUAGUAUGCUUUCCAGACACUGUGGUUAUGUGUGUGUGUACUGUUACGCUUCUAAGUAAAUGCCAACAAUGGAGUUCAUUGCUUUUACACAUCCCAAAGAGAAGCUCUCCACCAUUUAUUUUCUGUUUUCUGAUCGAAAAGGUGUGCGUUUUUGAACAGUGUUGUUACAAGUCCCACCACCCCACUUUCACAUCAGCUUAUGCCAGUGCCAGGAUGGGAGGAUUUGGCUGCGUACCUUUCCCAGUAUACCACAGCCAGCAGUGGCAUCGGCAGGGAACAGUUCGAAUGUGUGUCCUUUGGGCUUUACGUAAAGCAAAUGCAGAACAAGAAAGAUCAAGAUGUUAAAUUCAUUAGAAAACAAAUUCCUCAUUGUACAGUAGUAUGGAAAUCUCUAGUCAACCUGCCAUUAAUAAUAGAGUCUUAUUUUUUUGAAUGAUCUAUUUAAAAGAACAGCAAGCAUUGUAUUUGCUAGUAAAGCUGAAGUGUUUACAUGGAAUUACUAAAUAAAUUAUUUGAUCUAA